rnacentral:rRNA from 1 species
GAUGAACGCUGGCGGCGUGCCUAAUACAUGCAAGUCGAGCGAACGGACGAGAAGCUUGCUUCUCUGAUGUUAGCGGCGGACGGGUGAGUAACACGUGGAUAACCUACCUAUAAGACUGGGAUAACUUCGGGAAACCGGAGCUAAUACCGGAUGAUAUUUUGAACCGCAUGGUUCAAAAGUGAAAGACGGUCUUGCUGUCACUUAUAGAUGGAUCCGCGCUGCAUUAGCUAGUUGGUAAGGUAACGGCUUACCAAGGCAACGAUGCGUAGCCGACCUGAGAGGGGGAUCGGCCACACUGGAACUGAGACACGGUCCAGACUCCUACGGGAGGCAGCAGUGGGGAAUCUUCCGCAAAGGGCGAAAGCCUGACGGAGCAACGCCGCGUGAGUGAUGAAGGUCUUCGGAUCGUAAAACUCUUUUAUUAGGGAAGAACAUAUGUGUAAGUAACUGUGCACAUCUUGACGGUACCUAAUCAGAAAGCCACGGCUAACUACGUG